rnacentral:rRNA from 1 species
CAGCCGCCGCGGGAAUACGUAGGUGGCAAGCGUUGUCCGGAAUUAUUGGGCGUAAAGCGCGCGCAGGCGGAUAGGUCAGUCUGUCUUAAAAGUUCGGGGCUUAACCCCGUGAGGGGAUGGAAACUGCUGAUCUAGAGUAUCGGAGAGGAAAGUGGAAUUCCUAGUGUAGCGGUGAAAUGCGUAGAUAUUAGGAAGAACACCAGUGGCGAAGGCGACUUUCUGGACGAAAACUGACGCUGAGGCGCGAAAGCCAGGGGAGCGAACGGGAUUAGAUACCCGAGUAGUCCCUGUCUCUUAUACA